rnacentral:rRNA from 2 species
AUGAAGAACGCAGCGAAAUGCGAUACUUGGUGUGAAUUGCAGAAUCCCGUGAACCAUCGAGUCUUUGAACGCAAGUUGCGCCCAAAGCCAUUAGGCUGAGGGCACGCCUGCCUGGGUGUCACAC